CACGUAGGGCGCAAGCGUUGUCCGGAAUUAUUGGGCGUAAAGAGCUCGUAGGUGGUUUGUUACGUCUGCUGUGAAAACCUAGGGCUUAACCCUGGGCUUGCAGUGGAUACGGGCAGACUAGAGGUAGGUAGGGGAGAAUGGAAUUCCUGGUGUAGCGGUGAAAUGCGCAGAUAUCAGGAGGAACACCGGUGGCGAAGGCGGUUCUCUGGGCCUUACCUGACACUGAGGAGCGAUAGCGUGGGGAGCGAACCGG
rnacentral:rRNA from 1 species